UUGAGCGGCCCGAAAUCAUAUCCAUCCGAAAAUCAACCUCUUAUAGAGGGGAAAUGGUGUGAAUCAAUGGGGAAAAGGGGGGAAAUAGUGGAGGAAAGCCCAAAAUCAGAUCUAAAAACGGAAUGGAUUAUUGUCACUUGGUGUAAGGAAACCAUUUCUUGUGGAUGCUCCUCUGGAUUCAUUGGGUAUCUCCCUUUUAUGUUCAUGUUUUUAAGCGCAUAGUAGCCGGUGCAGUACAGUUAGGAAGGUGUUUGUCGUUGUACAAGGUGACACGGCAAGAUCUAGCAAAUUUCUUGUUCAGGAGAUUUCAUGUCAUCAAAAGUGCACAUCUUGUGGAGCCAGAAAGUGCAUUUGGUGGAGAAAGCUUUUUUUGCCAGCUAGCUCUGGUUCCAGUGAUAGGUUGCUAAGAUUGGCAUGUGAAUGCACUGAUUUUCUAGAGGCAAAUGAUGUAGUAAUGAAGCAUUGAUCCACAACCUAGUUGUGUGGCGGACAAUGUUGACCACAGGAGAAACUAUUGGACGGCUUUUAUUUAUCACAGCUGGUACAAUGAGAGCUGGAUUUUUUAGCGCCUCCUGGCCGCAGUCUCUCUCUGAGCAUUGAAGUAGACGGCGGCCACAGGAAGGCCAAGUUCAUUCUCCUCAGCAAACCUCCGUGUAUUGAAAUUAUCCCUAGAGGAUGGCACAACUACAGUUUGCCUGUGCUUCUGCUUGAAGAGCACAAAAAUGAACCUGUGGAUGCCAAUGCUGGGCUUUGGGCUCUCAUAGCUUAUGAUUUCCUGUCCUGCAAUUCAAAUGGCAGCCAGCUGUGUAUUUAGAACACGCAGUGCAUGGAACGAUCUACUGCAGGUUAGGGAGAGGACCUACCAAAAGAGGCAUCUGUUGUUCCAGGUAUAUCAGUUACAAUCCUGCAUAGGUGUUUAAGGGAGGCGGAUGCACUCUACACUGUCUGCGUGGAAGCCUAUCAACCCCCAAAUGUUUGUCUUUGCAGCCUUGUUUAUCUGGGUAAGCCUCAUGUAGCUUCUUUUUCUAUUAAGGAAAAAGCAAGUUAUUGAGCUAAAAUGCUGUUGGAAUCUUUUCCCAAACUGUGAUACCAACUGGAUUACCAUUAUUGUCGGUUUAUUCUCUUCUUUGGAGUUCUAUGGCAGCACACCAAGGAAGAGAAUAAAGGAAUGAGGUGCAGAGCUGUGCUGCUGCCACCACUUCACUGUGUAGGAAUGCUGUCUAUUGUCUAGUGCUGAGAUGCCACUUCACUGAUAAAAAGAUCAUAGUUUCUUCUUGAUUGAGGAGUUAAAAAUAUUUCUAGAUUGCCAUAAGUAGUGGAACCAAGUACAGCCUUUUGCAUUGUGCUGUUUUGGUUUAAUGCCAUCAUAUUUGCUUGGCAGUUCAUGCUGUCGCGCAAGUAUAAAUACUGCAGUCAAAUACAGCUUGGCAACAUUUUUCUGCUCCUAGUUCCAUGAUGGUUGCUUGGCACAUGGCUAAAUUAGUGGAAUCCCAUAACUAUAUACUAACUAAUGGUAACUAAUCUGUGGUGUGGUAAACCUUUAGCUUGAUGUGCUGACUUGUCAUUAGUAUUCAGCACUACUGUUAUAUGUAUGCAAGAUCAGCUAUGAGUUGUCAUUAUGUUUCCUAGAUGAAUAUUUCUUCACCCGAUUUGAAAGAAGAAAUUGUUCACCAUUCACAGAAGAUUAAAACUGCUUAUCAAUAUUAUUAUGCUUAUCAAUAUUCACAUAAGAAUAUGAUCAGGGAGUGUUUUACCCAGGAACAUGGGUGGCGAUCUGUAUUACGAUUGAUGGUCCUUAACAACUUAUAUCAUAUUUGUUUUUUCUUUUUGGUGGUGUAUUUGGUUGUGUGCAUCUUAGCUAUGUAGAGGCCCGAAGUGUUCUCAGAACAAUUGUAUCAUCUUGAUGAAAUUGACCGAG